AGGGCGGGGGGCGUGGCCAAGGGCAAGGGCGCCAAAAAUCUUUUAGGCCCGUAGUCGCUGUUGUUUUGGUUGCCUGGUGGUCGCUGCUGUCUCGGUCUCCAUAUUUUCCCUGUUUGGCGGGCACUGAGGGCAACAGGAAGGUCCACAAGGUGUUUCAACAUGACCAACUUCAUGUCUGCUGUUGCUGACUGCAAAUCAAACUCAAGAGUGAAGGAAGGACAACAUCAGAGCAUGAAGGAAGUUGCAUUGUGGGCCAGGUUUCUAGCAGCCAGAUGGGAACCAAUGAGAAGGAAGUUGUGGAAGAAGUGCAGGGGGCCAAAGGGAUGAAAUACAACUGUAAAUCAUGGCAUCUGCUCCUUGCACUUCAUUGACUGGGGAAAACUGAUGAACACCAGCAAAUCCAGACCCAGUUCUGUUUGCAUACACUGGGAAGACUGCCUGACAUAUCACAAGAAAGAAAAAUAGUCUUCAGAUUCUAGAUGAACACAGGUACCAAGCUUACACCACCCUAAGUCAUGCCUACACCCAGACUGUUGAAUGGAGACCUCUCAUUGCCCUGCAGAUGUUUUGGUUUCAAGAUUGCAUGCACUUGUGGGAGAUUAAAAUGUGCUGCAUAGAAGUCUCCAAAAUUUAUGUGCAGGGAAGGUGAUGAGCUAAGCUGAAAGGAAGACUGCACAAGAUAGACAUUAGUUGAUUGUCAGCUGUGUGGUGACUGGACGGCAGAUAGACAGCAUACAAGUGGGUGCACUGUGGUCCUCAUCAGGAGUUGCUACCCUCUGACAAGUGUCUUGCUUUCCUGGAUGGAGAAGUCUUCAAUGCAGCCAUUUUUCAUAUUCGGCACUCUGGUGGGGAGUGGGAAAUCGGUGAUAGAUGAUUUUGCUGCUUUUAAAUAAGUGUAGACAUUGCAAACUAAACCAGAAUUGGACUGGGUAACUCAUUGACAAGUUUGAUGUUUGUUUGCUGUUACUGAUAUUAGGAUUUGACAUGCUUGAAAAAGUGAGUGUUUGUUAUUGUAACAGCAGUGUUGAUAUAGAACUUAUAAAUUCUGGCCAUGUAUCAUUGUAAAAAUGUUUUAACUAAAUUACACUGGAGACAAAUUGAUUAGUUUCUUUUAAAAAAAACAUGAUUAUGGUGUUUCUCCGGAGGCCUUUUGAGGCAUUACUGACUCAUGGGGA